CGAGACCUCAGGUCAGGCGGGGCUACCCGCUGAAUUUAAGCAUAUCAAUAAGCGGAGGAAAAAGAAACUAACAAGGAUUCCCUUUAGUAACGG
rnacentral:rRNA from 1 species